AGAAUAACCGGGCCCAGCGCGGACUCCCGGUGUCCUCCCUAGCCUCCCCACCCGGACUCGCUGCCCAGUCUGCCCUCUCGGCCGAGCUCGCGGUCCCCGCCUCCUCAGAGCCCGUAGGACCUACCAACCUCACCCGGGGCAGAGGCUCAGUCGUCUGCGCCUGCGCACUCCCGCGUGGGCUGGAGCUCCCAGGAGUCUACGGGGCGACGCGCUCGUAACCUAGCUAUCCCAAGCUACCGGCUCUGCGGUGUGUUUCUGGCAAAGUCCGCGCGGUUCCGGAGUGGACUGCGGCCGUGGAGGAGUUUGUGAACCUCGUCCUCUGGUUCAUUUUCCCCUAGGCUUGCAGUCACCGUUUUCCUUGUGGCAACUUCUGGUGAUCCUCUGGAAGGGGGAUGGUCGCCAGAAAUACCGGGCCAUGAUUAGAAGCUUGGAAUCUUCAGCCCCACUCCUCUCGUGGGAAGGAGAGAACGGCUAAAGAUUUCAUACUAUCAACAGAGUAAAAAUGCAAACCAUGGAAUGGGAGAUUUACAAAUUUUAUCUGAUAAAGGAUAUUUAAAGAGUAUUUAAAGAAUUUCUAUAAAUCAUCAACAGAAAACAACCCAAUUUAACAAUG